UCUUUAUCUUGGGGCACUGCAGCUUCUGCACCUCGUGAGGAACAGUGUUGGUCACUACCACCUAGGGAGGGCCAAAAAGGAAAGGAAGUUGUGCUGCUGGAAUGUUCAUCCACCCUGGACUGACUCCAGCAGGGUGAAGAACCAACUAACUGAAAGCACCUGAUUAAAUGAGUAAUUCCAGACAUGAGCUAGGUGCCUUGGGAAGGACAUCAAUUUGUGAGUUUUGGUGCCAGCCCCCACUCUGCAGUGUGGAGAGCAGACUCACCUCAUCAAUGGAGGAUUCCUCUAUAAGACGAGGGGCAUCUGCUGACAGGAGCCCAUGAGUAGCCAUCACAAAAAUCUUGUAGGCUCCACGCUCUUUCAGGAUCUCUGCAGCAGCUACAAAGCUUUCCACAUCAUCAAUGAUGUCAUCCUGAGCAGAAACAGAAAUAACAUCAAAGCCAGAAGUUUACAGAGCCUGCAGGGCAGGAGUGGAUCUGCAGGCUACUGCAGCUUUGGCCAUGCACACAGAUGAAAAAUAGAAUCCCUGUCUACUUCAGCUGCUGAUGAGGACAGCCACGUGCAUGACUAAUCUGUGAAUGCUAUUUCCCCGGUUUAAUGACCCUUUUGCUAGUGUGGAGAACAAAUGCUGUGUCUUGGAAACAAAUCAGUCUCUGCACAUGCACUUGCAGUUUAUCAUCAGCAAGGCCUAUUUUUCCGUGGGGCAGGAGCUGCAUGUUGAUUACUUACACUGCAGUAUGGCAUAGCAAGUAAGAGAGGCUUGGCAAGCUUUUUGUUUGGGGUUUUUUAACACUUCAGGAGCUUUCUGUGUGUCCUGGAGUUAUUAAUUACUUGCAGACAUCUGACACUUAGAAUCAAGGCAGCAAGAACAUUUUAGGGCUUAAAGAACUGAAGUGUGAAUGGUUUUCAACAGAAAGUUGAAAUAACCAAAGUCACCAGCACUGCUGGAGAAAAGUGUGUCUAAAAACCACGUUCCCACUCCUAUACCAGCCAUCCCUCUGACCCUCAGGGAGAGAGCAGCUGAAGCAAAGAUGCUGUGAAGAAGCCACCCCCCACCUGUUCCCCUCACACUCAUACCACGAUGAUGGCAAUCCUUCCUCCAACGUCUCCAACCACAGUUAUGGGCGGUUUCUCCUUGGCCAUCAUCACUAAAGAAGAAGGGAAAAAAAGAAUCCAGGUGACUCAGGUUUGAGUCAAACCCCAACAGUUCCACCAGACAAGAGGCUGAACCAUUAAACAUCUUGCACUGAUGCAGACACAGGUGUGCUUUACAUGAUCCUGACACCCACCUAAGUGAGAAACUUUCAUUUAAUCAUCGUUUUUCUCCUCAAAUGAACAGCACUGCUGCAUAAAGAGGAAAUUCUGUUUCUGUGGGGAUUUUGUACUGAGCUCAGAAACAGAAAGCAAUUCCAACUCUCUAACAGACCCCUGUGCAAGGAGUUACAAAGCAGCACCUGGUUUAUGGGCAAUAUCAGUGACCCUCUCUGUGCUCCAGCACAGGACUUGAAAAAGGGUCCAUUCCACGACUGGGAACAACAAAUGGGCUUUUCCAAGCAGCACCUCUCAAAGGGCAGAUGCUUUACAAGGUGCAACUUUUCACCUCUUGGACUCAGUAAAUCAUCUGUAGGACCAGAGACGUGCACUGCAGCUCAUUUGCUUUCGCACAUCACCAAACACAGAGGGAUCUUUGAGAGGGUGUAAGAACCUUAAUACCACCUGCUCAGGCAAAGAAAGCUUAAGGAAGUUUGCAGAAGCAAAUUUGCUGAUUAUUUUUUAAGUGGAUUAAUGGAAAGAGUAGGACAAAAUCCAGUUGAAACUCUGUUUAACAAGCUCAGUGCAACCAGCAACUGGAUCAAAGGAUACACUGACAAGCUGUGCUACCUGGCAUACAGUGAAGAAAUGUACUGGGAAAUAAGGUUCCACCCCUCCUGACACUACUUUUGCACUGACAGGGCUCAUGCAAAACCAUAUCCUGCCAAAAUUCCAGCAGCAUCAUAAAAAUACCAGAAAUCUGAACUAAGAUGCACUGAGAGUGUCCAGAUGUAACACAGCCCUGACACUUACAGCAAACAGCAACCAACCUCCAGUACAGGCCAGGGACUUGCUGUCCAUCUGCCAAAGCUCUCACUUGCCAUGGGGUGCUGGUACAAAAACCUCCAGCACGGAAAGGACACUGUGGUGGGCAAACGUGUGUCAACAGGUGACAAUUUGGGCUGAUCUAACCACUGAAGCCAAGAGGCACCUCCAGAUUUUGUAAAACUUACCUGGCCCACCUCCACACCCCACACCCCUAUUUUAUACUCUUCACAGUGAGUGCAAAGUGUCCUAACCAAGGAUCUUGGUGCCCCUCCUUUUGUAAGCUCAGGUCUUGCCAGGAUUCUGGCCACAGAGGCUUCUCAAGUGCCUCAAAGAGCUCAGACAAAGCAGGAUUUUUCUCUUUUAGGAUAAUCCACUUCACUGUAAUACCUGAGCAGCAGGAGAACACAAGCAAUUGCCCACCAAAAAGCCUGUCUAAAUAUUGAUCUCUGCUCUCCUCACCAAAAAAGUCUUGCAUCAAACUCCCCAUCCUGCACAGCAGGAUGAUCCAGUACUAUUCCCAUAUCUCAGCAGUGCCUGGGAAUGCUUAAGAGUGCAAGCACAGCUGGGUGAAUGACUCACACUGAGGGAUAUGAUGAAAGCAAUUGUAAGCACCACAAUUUCCAAGAUUCUUGUGUAGAGCUGUUCUUCACAUCCAUGAUCUACUCCAGGCUGGUUUUCCAUAAACCUACCAAAACUGUAUAAAAGGUAUCCAGUAAUUCUGUUUUGCCCAAAGUCCCAUCACUCAUUGCCAGGUUUUUGCAGUUAAAAGUCACAGCUACCUUGGACUGAAGAGUUAAUCAACAGCUCUUCAUGGCACAGAUUCCUCAGCCUCCCUUGCAUGGUUAUUUCUGAGUCUCCUAUCAAAAGCAAAGUCACAUCUAAAUCCUGAAGGAAAAAUAUUCUUAUGAGAAGGAAGAUUAUUUGUAAUAAAUGAAGAUUAAGCACCACGAGAAAUAAGCAGAUCAUAAAUUUCAGUUACAGGCACUACUGACCUGCUCAGAUUAGUUAUGAGUUCACUAUCUAGUCUGGACAGUAAUAAAGCUCCUGGUGGGAGCUGUGAAGUAUCAAAAGGAUUCCACCUGGCUGCCAUCCCAGCCUCUGUGUGUAUCCACUGAUGAGUGCCAUCUCUGUUUACAACAGCCAGGUCAGGGGAAACUUUUCUACACAAAUGGUGAACAGGCCUGGGGAGUUGAAAUUCAGCACUAUUUUACUCACAGAGAUAUGGAGUUUCAGCAAGUCAGCAUCCUUCUACUCCAUGAAGGAAGCAGACACAUUGCUUGCUGUGCUUAAAGGCUAACAUGGCAACCAGCAACAUUAGCAGUGCUUUGCAUCUCUCUCUGUUUUUUAAAAGCUGUAUUUCGAUUUUGGUUUAUUUUUAAAGAAUGGUAGGCAACGUGUCGACCUACCCGGAUCUUAAAGAGAUGUUCUCCCUUUUCCUUGUUCAAUUUUCUCUGCAAAAAAAAGAAAAAAAAAAUUGCAAGCCAAAGAUCUACCCACAACCACAUCAAAUCUCAACUGCUCCAAGGUGAUGAGAGUCUACACAAGGGUUAGUGCAGGCAGCUUCUUCUUCAAAAUCUUUGAACAUAUCAAGAUGUGCAAGUCAGAACUGCUAUGAGGAGGUGCCUUGAAAAAUGAUUCAAAUAAUAAAAGAAUAUUUUCCUCCCA